CGUUUGCAUGUUGCUUCGCUCGCCGCAAUUCGCACCGCCGCCGCAUCGCCGCAACCGCAAGAGAAAAUCCGCCUCCUCGCCGUCGUCCCUGCAAAAAUGUCAUCCAUGGCCACCUGUACCCGAGCUCCGCUCCCCGGCUGCCGCCGCCCACUCCCGCACCCACGCCGGCGGCAGUCACCAACCCAGGGGAAGAUAAGGGGCCGUGGUUGCCGGCGGCGGAGACGGAGCCGCAGGAGAAGGAGAAGCUGCUCGCCCCACUCGUGCCCGACACCGCCGCUGCGAACCUCGCCCGGCCAGGGAGAAGAGGUACGCGAAGGUGCCGAUGACUGAAGAGGAGGACAAGCUACUGGAGGUGAGGGCACGGCAUCGGUCCAUGAGCAAAGAGGUAUCCGCGCGGGUCGAGAGACGGAAGGAGCUGUUGAAGCGCCGGUACGAGCUUCUGUUCCAGCGGAGGUGCCUCGCCGUCCGGUUGUCCAACCGGAUCGUGGCCCUCCGUACCGACGCCGACCACAUCAGGCACCAGCGUCUCGUCGGUUGGAAGUACGGGAACGGGAUGCCUAUGCCAGAGGAGAUCUUGAACUGUCGGAACCGCAUCGGCUGUGCUCUGGAGUUGUGCGCUGCCAUGGGCAAUGCUUUGGAUGCCGGUCUUGAUGCCUUUCUCGUCGAUUACCAGCAGCAGAAGAGUAUGUGUCCCGAGGUGCAUACCGAUCUUAUGUAGAUCAUGGCCUCGUUUUCUGUUAUGAAUAUGCCCUCUUUCUUUGUGGAUUAUGGCCUCUGUCCGUUUAUGAAUAUGCCCUCUUUCUGUUUGUUGGAAGAAAAUAUUUGAAUCAUGUGGUGAUUUGGUUUGUGUCUUGUGCGCGGAUAUGUUUAAUGUAGCGGAUGAAGUGAGAAUGAGUGUACUUAUGAUACCUGCAUUUUAGCCUCUUUAAGAGUGAAAAUGAUUUUAUUUAUGAUGUCUA